rfam:Hordeum vulgare subsp. vulgare, WGS project CAJW01000000 data, contig: morex_contig_135485
AACAUACUCCCUCCGUCCCAAAAUNNNUGUCUUAGAUUUGUUUAAAUAUGAAUGUAUCUAGUCAUGUUUUAGUAUUUAGAUACAUUCAUUCUUAGACAAACCUAAGGCAGGAAUUUUGGGACGGAGGGAGUAAUUC